CGCUGGCGCCUGUCACCCGCCCACUAUAUUUCUGCCAGCACCUUGAGCUGAGGGGGUUGUCUGGCUCUGCUUUGCUGCAGGGGUCUCCAUGACCCAUCUCCUCUCCUCCUCCACUAGCCUGCAACAUCUAAGGACACUGCUCCUAUUAUCCCCUGCAUAUGGAACAAAGCAAAGUCAAAGGGAAUCUUGCUAGUGGCGGAUCACAAGCAAAGUGGAUGAAUGGAACAACAAUCGUGUGCAAGACUACAUAACUGAACUUGAUGAUGGCAGGAAACGCACCUUGUGGCUUCUGAAAUGUUGAAGCUUAAUACCUUAAAGUGGAAAGUUCUUGCCUCCUCCCCAUUUACCUCCAAAUCCAGAGGUGUGGCGAUACUAGUCAAAAGUACUGUUCCCAUUGAACUCACGUCCAUGACUGCUGACCAUGAAGAAAGAUCAAGCCAUAGACCAUGUGUUUUCAACAGUCAGCAAAUCUGAAAACUUAAAAAAUGGAAGUCCUUGCAACACUGUUCUUCUGUUACUACAAGAAAAAAAACAUCAGUAUAAGAAUUCACUGCAACCCUAAAGAAGUGUGUUGAUGUUACCAUGUGGUGCCUAUCAGAGACUGAGUACCUCAUUCAGAGAUGGACCUAAAAAGCAGAAGCAGAGAGCUGGGUAAGCAAAAAUGAGAUGUUGCAGCCAGAGACUGGACAUCGCCAGGCCUAGUGAAAUGCGUGGAUGCUGCAGACAGGGAGAAACAGCUGAAACACAUCCAGAUCAUGAACACCUCUAAUGCAGAG